UACGUAGGGUGCAAGCGUUAAUCGGAAUUACUGGGCGUAAAGCGUGCGCAGGCGGUUAUGUAAGACAGGUGUGAAAUCCCCGGGCUUAACCUGGGAACUGCAUUUGUGACUGCAUAGCGUAGAGUACGGUAGAGGGGGAUGGAAUUCCGCGUGUAGCAGUGAAAUGCGUAGAUAUGCGGAGGAACACCGGAUGGCGAAGGCAAUCCCCUGGACCUGUACUGACGCUCAUGCACGAAAGCGUGGGGAGCAAACAGG
rnacentral:rRNA from 1 species